rnacentral:rRNA from 1 species
GAUGAACGCUGGCGGCGUGCCUAAUACAUGCAAGUCGAGCGAACAGACGAGGAGCUUGCUCCUCUGACGUUAGCGGCGGACGGGUGAGUAACACAUGGAUAACCUACCUAUAAGACUGGGAUAACUUCGGGAAACCGUAGCUAAUACCGGAUAAUAUAUUGAACCGCAUGGUUCAAUAGUGAAAGACGGUUUUGCUGUCACUUAUAGAUGGAUCCGCGCCGCAUUAGCUAGUUGGUAAGGUAACGGCUUACCAAGGCAACGAUGCGUAGCCGACCUGAGAGGGUGAUCGGCCACACUGGAACUGAGACACGGUCCAGACUCCUACGGGAGGCAGCAGUAGGGAAUCUUCCGCAAUGGGCGAAAGCCUGACGGAGCAACGCCGCGUGAGUGAUGAAGGUCUUCGGAUCGUAAAACUCUGUUAUUAGGGAAGAACAAAUGUGUAAGUAACUAUGCACGUCUUGACGGUACCUAAUCAGAAAGCCACGGCUAACUACGUG